GAACAUUGAACACACAAAUGGAGGAGAGUGGUCUCCAUUUUGUCAGUUGAAAUGACAUCUAAGGUCUCAAAGGGAACAAAAUGAGCUAUUCUACAUGGCCAUAGUUGUCAUAUUAAAUGAAUCCUGCAACUUGCUGUCAUCUAGACAUCCUAGAAUGAAGUAUAAAUAAGUGUUUCUGUCUAAUUUGAAUUUUGUAUUUCUUUAACAUGCAGUUUUGUUGCUAUCACAUUGUUUUUGCAGAAGAGCAGGUGGUCCUGUCCCUAUUUCCUGUUUUUGGGGUGACGAGGGAAACCCGCAGCCACUACCCGAGGGUGUGCACUGGGACUAGCUCAAACCAAGAAGGUUGGGAUUUGAACUCGUGACCUUGUGGUUACAAGUUUGUAUCCUUAGCCAUCUUGGCUGGCGUUACCCCCGUUCCUAUUUCCCGUUAAUAAUAGAAAUUUUAUCAUGAGCAGCAGUCGGUGGCAGAAAUAUUAGUACACUGACAUCAUUGAGGAGUUUUUGUCUUGAAGAAAAUUGAACAACUCAAGAGAUAAACGUAAGGAAGAAAAAUCCACCACUGCUGGUUGAGCAACAUCAUUGUUAAAGAUUCCCUCCAGCUUAAAGACGCUUUCUUCUCGCCUUGGAGGAAUACAAGAAGCUAGAUGCCAUACAGGAUGAUGUAUCUUCUUUGAUUAUGAUGACUAUUAAGGUUUGAAAGCUCCAGCAGUCUGAGUUUGAUGUGUACAUUACAUGUCUGCAUUUCAUUUCGGUUUAACACCUUCCCCCACCCCCCCCCCUAAAAAAAAUAUUGGUAGUGUUUGAUAACCAACCAAUUAAAAACUGGAUUUUUUUAUUAAGACCAUGGUGAAGUACAUAUACACUGUACAUUUAGAGCCAGUUGAUGUUGAAUUAUCUGUUGGUGUGUUGUUGGUCAAGGCGUACAGCAGUUUGAUUUUGAUGAGUCACACCUCCAUAUAUAUAUAUAUAUAUAUAAUAUAUAUAUAUACACACAUGCUGAAUCCAGCAUCCUAGCAGCAUCCGUACUAGUGCUGGUAGUUUUAUACACGGUUGUUGUUUGUGGUCCUGCACGUGAUAUAGAGAUUGGGUUGCCACUCGUGACCGAUUAAAUGCACUAAUUAUAACAUGAACAACCACAACACUCUCUGGCUUGACUUGUCCUAGUAUAGUCAUAGGGACAUUUUAUUGAAGCACUGUUGUAUUUUCUUGCCUGACAUCCUCCUGUGUUUGGUCAAAAUCUCAUUUUUGCAUUUGCAUUUUGACUGAAUUUAAUGCUGAUAAUCAUGGUUGCCUGGCGAAAAGGGAAAGAACAAAAGUGCAGAUGGAGAUUAGACCUUAGGGGUGAUUUACACUUAAGUGUGUGUAUUUGUCGUAGUCAAGUUGGAGUUUUGUAAUCAGUCUAAAUUUGAUCUGCCAUUUCUGCAAAAAAGUUCAUGGCCCUUCCGUACAGUUUUGUAAUCAGCUUGUGAAUGAAUGUCUUUUUUUAAAAAAUUUCUUCUCUGAUCUCUAGCAGCUGAAAUAAGUUACCUGUUUUUUGCCAGUCUCGUUAAAUCAAUGUUUGUCUUGAAUCAAGGUAGUAUUUGUUGACUGUGGUCGUACAUGACUCCUCACCUUCUUCAACUCCCUCGCUAGGGAUAGAUGGCCAUUGCACAGGUCGGCCAUUCUUGGACCACUAGUCUCAGAAUCAAGGUCGAUAUCAGGUUUAUUCGAGCUGGUUUCGAUAUGUUCAGUUUUGUAGGGUAAUCAAAGUCUAAGUCGCGCUAAUGGCUACAUCUACCUCUUGCAAGAGGAAACAAAUAGCAGUUGUUGAAUGAGUCAAAAUAGGUUGAAGUGAAAUGUAAGUCAGGCAGCCCAACAACUUAGGUUGUCAAAUGUCAAUCUAACGGUAAGAUACUAAUAUCGGAAAAUUGACUCUUGUAGAUUUGAACUUUACGAACAUAAGUCAGGCCAAAUUUGAAUUAGUCUCGCAAUAGUUGGAUAUAUAUUAAA